rnacentral:sRNA from 1 species
AGGAUUGAGGGGUUGGAAGAGACCUUUAGAACAGAUAGUCAUUAUGCUGACCGGGUGUCUGCACUAAGCUUGGCAUGAAUAUGGUGACCUCCUGGGAUCAGGGGGCCACCUGGUUGCCUAAGGAUGAGUGAACUGGCCCAGAUCAGAAAGGAAGCAGUUCAGAAUUCCCACACUGACUGGUAGCAGGACUGUGCCUGGGCAAUAUAGCAAGAUCUUGGUUCUU